rnacentral:rRNA from 1 species
ACGAAGGUGGCAAGCGUUGUUCGGAUUUACUGGGCGUACAGGGAGCGUAGGUGGUUCGGUAAGCCUCUCGGGAAAUCUCCAGGCUCAACCUGGAACGGUCGGGAGGGACUGCCGUGCUAGAGGACGGGAGAGGAGCGCGGAAUUCCCGGUGUAGCGGUGAAAUGCGUAGAGAUCGGGAGGAAGGCCGGUGGCGAAGGCGGCGCUCUGGAACGUUCCUGACGCUGAGGCUCGAAAGCGUGGGGAGCAAACAGGA